GUCGAAUGCUAUGCUGCCCCCUUGCAUGAGACUCUUUCUGGCAGUGCUAGCAGUGAUCAGGCUGCAACAGCAGCUGGAGGAGUCUGAGAGCAGUGACCCUCAGGGUGCCAUGGCCAUCUGUGAGCAGCUGGGGGACCUGUUCUCUAAGGCGGCUGACUUCCCCAAGGCUAUUGAGGCUUAUCAGAACCAGGUGUGUGGCCCCUGUGGGGUGGGAGAAAAGAGCCAGCAAGGUACAGAGUGGACCUGGGGCUUACUGUGCCUCUCUCCAGCUGCACUUUGCUGAGCGACUGAAUAGACCAGACCUCGAGCUGGCCACCAUCCACGUGUCCCUGGCCGCCACACGGGCAGACAUGAAGGACUAUCGCCAGGCAGUAUACCACUAUGAAGAAGAACUCAGGCUGCGCAAUGGCAAUGCUCUGGAGGUGAUGUGCCCUGUUCCCUCCUCAGUGUAGGUUUGUCCUCAGGACUCUGCCUUAGGACCACCAUUCUCUAGUGCGCAUAGAUGGGUGCCUCUCUGGACAGGACUUCCUUCUGAGAAUCGUUGAGCUCCAUUUUUUGGAGAUGGGGUAGAACCCAGGCAGAUAUUCCUGUUGUGUGUAGGCACCUGGGGAAGCCAGCCUAUGGAUGUCGUGGGCAGCAGCCAUCAGCUCAUUCUUCCUCCACUCCAGGAGGCCAAUACCUGGUUCAACAUUGCACUCUCCCGCGAGGAGGCUGGUGAUGCAUAUGAGCUUCUGGCUCCAUGCUUCCAGAAGGCUCUUAACUGUGCCCAGCAGGCCCAGCGGCCCCAGUUGCAGGUAC
rnacentral:lncRNA from 1 species